rnacentral:rRNA from 1 species
AUUGAACGCUGGCGGCAUGCCUUACACAUGCAAGUCGAACGGUAACAGGUCUUCGGACGCUGACGAGUGGCGAACGGGUGAGUAAUACAUCGGAACGUGCCCAGUCGUGGGGGAUAACUACUCGAAAGAGUGGCUAAUACCGCAUACGAUCUGAGGAUGAAAGCGGGGGACCUUCGGGCCUCGCGCGAUUGGAGCGGCCGAUGGCAGAUUAGGUAGUUGGUGGGAUAAAAGCUUACCAAGCCGACGAUCUGUAGCCGGUCUGAGAGGACGACCAGCCACACUGGGACUGAGACACGGCCCAGACUCCUACGGGAGGCAGCAGUGGGGAAUUUUGGACAAUGGGCGAAAGCCUGAUCCAGCAAUGCCGCGUGCAGGAUGAAGGCCUUCGGGUUGUAAACUGCUUUUGUACGGAACGAAAAAGCUUCCCCUAAUACGGGAGGCCCAUGACGGUACCGUAAGAAUAAGCACCGGCUAACUACGUGCCAGCCGCCGCAGUAACAC